rnacentral:rRNA from 1 species
AGAGUUUGAUCCUGGCUCAGGAUGAACGCUGGCGGCGUGCUUAACACAUGCAAGUCGAACGAACCUUCGGGUUAGUGGCGGACGGGUGAGUAACGCGUGGGAAUCUGCCCUCAGGAAGGGGAUAACGGCUGGAAACGGCCGCUAAUACCCCAUAUGCCGAGAGGUGAAAUGAAUUUCGCCUGAGGAUGAGCCCGCGUCUGAUUAGCUAGUUGGUGAGGUAAGAGCUCACCAAGGCAUCGAUCAGUAGCUGGUCUGAGAGGAUGAUCAGCCACACUGGGACUGAGACACGGCCCAGACUCCUACGGGAGGCAGCAGUGGGGAAUUUUCCGCAAUGGGCGAAAGCCUGACGGAGCCACGCCGCGUGAGGGAUGAAGGCCUCUGGGCUGUAAACCUCUUUUAUCAAGGAAGAGAUCUGACGGUACUUGAUGAAUAAGCCACGGCUAAUUCCGUGCCAGCAGCCGCGGUAAUACGGGAGUGGCAAGCGUUAUCCGGAAUUAUUGGGCGUAAAGCGUCCGCAGGCGGUCGUUUAAGUCUGCUGUUAAAGCGUGGAGCUUAACUCCAUUAGGGCAGUGGAAACUGGGAGACUAGAGACUGUCAGAGGCAAGUGGAAUUCCCGGUGUAGUGGUGAAAUGCGUAGAUAUCGGGAGGAACACCAGUGGCGAAAGCGGCUUGCUGGGACAGUUCUGACGCUGAGGGACGAAAGCGUGGGUAGCAAACCGGAUUAGAUACCCGGGUAGUCCACGCCCUAAACGAUGGAUGCUAGGUUUGCGGGGUAUCGACCCCCUGUGAGCCGUAGGUAACCCGUUAAGCAUCCCGCCUGGGGACUACGACCGCAAGGUUAAAACUCAAAGGAAUUGACGGGGGCCCGCACAAGCAGCGGAGCGUGUGGUUUAAUUCGAUGGUAAGCGAAGAACCUUACCAGGGCUUGACAUGUAGGUGGUACGGAUCCGAAAGGUGAAGGACCCGCAAGGGAGCCUACACAGGUGCUGCAUGGUUGUCGUCAGCUCGUGCCGUGAGGUGUUGGGUUAAGUCCCGCAACGAGCGCAACCCUUGUCGUUAGUUACACUCUCUAACGAGACUGCCCCUAAAAGGGAGGAAGGAGGGGAUGACGUCAAAUCAUCAUGGCUCUUACGUCCUGGGCUACACACACGCUACAAUGGCCAGUACAGACGGUUGCUAAGUCGCGAGGCGGAGCCAAUCCGACAAAGCUGGUCUCAGUUGGGAUUGCAGGCUGAAACUCGCCUGCAUGAACGUGGAGUUGCUAGUAACCGCAGGUCAGCAUACUGCGGUGAAUACGUUCCCGGGCCUUGUACACACCGCCCGUCACGUCAUGGAAGAUGGCAACACUUGAAGUCGCCAGGCUAACCCUUCGGGAGGCAGACGCCGAGAGUGGGACUGAUGACUGGGAUGAAGUCGUAACAAGGUAACC